UUGUAGAACGUCAGUAUCUUAUAAAUGCUAUAUUCUGCAGACUUCGGUGUAUAAUACAUGUCCACAUUUUACAUCUAAUUAAUUAAGUAGUGUCCACUAUUUACUUGGGCAUUUACCUGUAAACUUGUCGAACGGGUUGAGUAACAGUGAUACCUGUAUUUGAUGAGCUGACUAUUCACUCUCAGGUAACACCUUAACGAGUCAAGGUGUGGUCAGAAAUGUUUGUAUAAAGUUAGUUUACAAUGUGGCGUGGACACACACACUGGAUUUCUGAGGUCCCAGUUUGCGGGCUAGGUGUAUGUAGUUUUGUAUUGUAAAGUAUGGAGAUAUAGUACAGAUGGUGGUGAAACCUGUUGACAGUGCGGCGUUCCGUGUUUAUCAUCAAUAGUUUGGCAACAUAGAAUAUUUGGAGUCGAGUCUAGACAAUAGGGCAGCCGUAAUGUGUACACCGCUUAUGUUGGGCCAGUUUUGUGUAGUUACCGAAAACCAAAUACGUAAAAUUCCGUAGUAUCGUUUAUCCAGAUUUCAUAGUUUAAUAUAAAGAAGAAGGAACAGUUCAUUAAACAUUUGACAGUAUUAUUUCAUUUGAUUUCAUCUAUUUAUAUUUGUAAAUUUGUACCUAAUUAAAUUGUUAUUUUGUUUAAA